GAAUCACAUAGCAAAAGGGACGUCUUAAAUGGGGUCCUCUGCAGAUAUAAGAUUUAAAGUAAUCAGUGCAUUCCCAAAGGGUACAGGUUCAUCAAUCACCUUUGCCCCUGACAACAUCCUAGCCUAGGAUUGCUUAUGUCUUGCUUAUGUCUGAUGCUCACAGUAUCAAGCUACUGCAUUGUUUCAGGAUAUUCUCAAGCGAAAACACCAAGAAACACCAGAUAAAUGUUCUGCCCAAAGCAACAAUCAAUCCGAAAAACCACAAAAGGGCAGUACAAAGCGAAGACAGA